rnacentral:rRNA from 1 species
UACGGAGGAUGCGAGCGUUAUCCGGAUUUAUUGGGUUUAAAGGGUGCGUAGGUGGGAUGCCAAGUCAGCGGUAAAAAUGCGGUGCUCAACGCUGUCGAGCCGUUGAAACUGGCGUUCUUGAGUGGGCGAGAAGUAUGCGGAAUGCGUGGUGUAGCGGUGAAAUGCAUAGAUAUCACGCAGAACUCCGAUUGCGAAGGCAGCAUACCGGCGCCCUACUGACGCUGAGGCACGAAAGCGUGGGUAUCGAACAGG